GUUUGAUCCUGGCUCAGAACGAACGCUGGCGGCAUGCCUAACACAUGCAAGUCGAACGAGACCUUCGGGUCUAGUGGCGCACGGGUGCGUAACGCGUGGGAACCUGCCCUUAGGUUCGGAAUAACAGUGAGAAAUUGCUGCUAAUACCGGAUAAUGUCUUCGGACCAAAGAUUUAUCGCCUUUGGAUGGGCCCGCGUUGGAUUAGCUUGUUGGUGAGGUAAUGGCUCACCAAGGCUACGAUCUAUAGCUGGUCUGAGAGGAUGAUC
rnacentral:rRNA from 11 species